UCACGUACCCCUGACUGCAGCCCGCAGAUCGGGGCGUGCCUCAACGUGGGCGGAGUUAAACGUUGAGCUCCGCCCACCUUGAACUAAACGUGGGCGGAGUUAAACGUUUAACUCCGCCCGCAUAGCGCAGUUGAACCGUUGAAGAAGAAGAAGAAUGUAUUAGAGAAGAAGAAGAAGUUUCCAAAAUGGAGAGAAUAGAGCACGUGUUUGCUGCAAACAGCCACGUCAUUGCCACAUAGUUUCCACCAUCAUCCACAAACCCCAUGGAUCACCUGCUGGACAAUGCAGCCAGUCUCCAGUGGGUUCUGCUUCCAGUAUUUGUACCUGGACACUGGAUACUCUGCACAUUGCUCACAGCCUAUCUCCUGGCCCUUGGAGGCAGCUUGGUGUGAAUGAUGUUCAGGAAAACAUGCUGCAGAUUAGAAGAUGGUGGUGUCUUGUUCUCCUGCAGAACUUCCCCAUGCUGUAAGUGCCCUCAGUAUCACACUUUUAAAC